UGUGGGUGGCGAGUGGCGGACGGGUGAGUAAUGCAUCGGGACCUGCCCAGACGUGGGGGAUAACGUAGGGAAACUUACGCUAAUACCGCAUACSUCCUACGGGAGAAAGCGGGGGAUCGAAAGACCUCGCGCGGUUGGAUGGACCGAUGUUCGAUUAGCUAGUUGGUGAGGUAAUGGCUCACCAAGGCGACGAUCGAUAGCUGGUCUGAGAGGAUGAUCAGCCACACUGGGACUGAGACACGGCCCAGACUCCUACGGGAGGCAGCAGUGGGGAAUAUUGGACAAUGGGCGAAAGCCUGAUCCAGCAAUGCCGCGUGUGUGAAGAAGGCCUUCGGGUUGUAAAGCACUUUUAUCAGGAGCGAAAUACUGCCGGCUAAUACCCGGCGGGGCUGACGGUACCUGAGGAAUAAGCACCGGCUAACUUCGUGCCAGCAGCCGCGGUAAUACGAAGGGUGCAAGCGUUAAUCGGAAUUACUGGGGCGUAAAGCGUGCGUAGGCGGUUAUUUAAGUCUGCUGUGAAAUCCCCGGGCUCAACCUGGGAAUGGCAGUGGGAUACUGGAUAGCUAGAGUGUGAUAGAGGAUGGUGGAAUUCCCGGUGUAGCGGUGAAAUGCGUAUAGAUCGGGAGGAACAUCAGUGGCGAAGGCGGYCAUCUGGGAUCAACACUGACKCUGAGGCACGAAAGSGUGGGGGAGCCAAACAGGAUUAAAUACCC
rnacentral:rRNA from 1 species